ACUGCCCCUAGAGGCGUUGCAGUCCAACUGUGAGUGUGGAGACUGUGUCAUUAGGUGGCAAAGAGUCAGUGGGCUUCGUCUACAUCGGGCACUCAAAACAGUUGGGUUGCUCGGAUUGACUGCAGCACCAACAAA
ensembl:snoRNA small nucleolar RNA SNORA17